rnacentral:rRNA from 1 species
CUCUGUGACUCCUACGGGAGGCAGCAGUGAGGAAUAUUGGUCAAUGGACGCAAGUCUGAACCAGCCAUGUCGCGUGCAGGAAGACUGCCCUAUGGGUUGUAAACUGCUUUAUACGGGAAGAAAUAUAGCUACGUGUAGUUAUUUGCCGGUACCGUAUGAAUAAGCAUCGGCUAACUCCGUGCCAGCAGCCGCGGUAAUACGGAGGAUGCGAGCGUUAUCCGGAUUCAUUGGGUUUAAAGGGUGCGUAGGCGGAAGUAUAAGUCAGGGGUGAAAGUUUGUGGCUCAACCAUAAAAUUGCCUUUGAUACUGUAUUUCUUGAGUACAUUUGAGGUAGGCGGAAUGUGUUGUGUAGCGGUGAAAUGCUUAGAUAUAACACAGAACACCGAUUGCGAAGGCAGCUUACUAAACUGUAACUGACGCUGAUGCACGAAAGCGUGGGGAUCGAACAGGAUUAGAUACCCUGGUAG